rnacentral:misc_RNA from 1 species
GAUGAAGAACUUAGCGAAAUGCGAUAAGUAAUGUGAAUUGCAGAAUUCCGUGAAUCAUCGAAUCUUUGAACGCACAUUGCGCCCCCUGGCAUUCCGGGGGGCAUGCCUGUCCGAGCGUCAUUUCUGCCCUCCAGCCCGGCUGGGUGUUGGGCGCUGUCCCCCCGGGGACACGCCCCAAAGGCAGUGGCGGCGCCGCGUCGGGUCCUCGAGCGUAUGGGGCUUUGUCACCCGCUCGGGACGGACUCGUCGGCGCUGGUCUUCCUCCAGGCGACCCUUCGGGGCUCGUCUUCCUUCGGUUGACCUCGGAUCAGGUAGGGUUACCCGCUGAACUUAAGCAUAUCAAUAAGCGGAGGA